rnacentral:rRNA from 1 species
AGAGUUUGAUCCUGGCUCAGGAUGAACGCUAGCGACAGGCUUAACACAUGCAAGUCGAGGGGCAGCGGGGGUAGCAAUACCCGCCGGCGACCGGCGCACGGGUGAGUAACGCGUAUGCAACUUACCUAUCAGAGGGGGAUAACCCGGCGAAAGUCGGACUAAUACCGCAUGAAGCAGGGGCCCCGCAUGGGGAUAUUUGCUAAAGAUUCAUCGCUGAUAGAUAGGCAUGCGUUCCAUUAGGCAGUUGGCGGGGUAACGGCCCACCAAACCGACGAUGGAUAGGGGUUCUGAGAGGAAGGUCCCCCACAUUGGUACUGAGACACGGACCAAACUCCUACGGGAGGCAGCAGUGAGGAAUAUUGGUCAAUGGGCGUAAGCCUGAACCAGCCAAGUCGCGUGAGGGAUGAAGGUUCUAUGGAUCGUAAACCUCUUUUAUAAGGGAAUAAAGUGCGGGACGUGUCCCGUUUUGUAUGUACCUUAUGAAUAAGGAUCGGCUAACUCCGUGCCAGCAGCCGCGGUAAUACGGAGGAUCCGAGCGUUAUCCGGAUUUAUUGGGUUUAAAGGGUGCGUAGGCGGCCUUUUAAGUCAGCGGUGAAAGUCUGUGGCUCAACCAUAGAAUUGCCGUUGAAACUGGGGGGCUUGAGUAUGUUUGAGGCAGGCGGAAUGCGUGGUGUAGCGGUGAAAUGCAUAGAUAUCACGCAGAACCCCGAUUGCGAAGGCAGCCUGCCAAGCCAUGACUGACGCUGAUGCACGAAAGCGUGGGGAUCAAACAGGAUUAGAUACCCUGGUAGUCCACGCAGUAAACGAUGAUCACUAGCUGUUUGCGAUACACUGUAAGCGGCACAGCGAAAGCGUUAAGUGAUCCACCUGGGGAGUACGCCGGCAACGGUGAAACUCAAAGGAAUUGACGGGGGCCC